rnacentral:rRNA from 1 species
UGAGGAAUAUUGGACAAUGGGUGCAAGCCUGAUCCAGCCAUCCCGCGUGAAGGAUUAAGGUCCUAUGGAUUGUAAACUUCUUUUAUACAGGGAUAAACCUCUCCUCGUGAGGAGAGCUGAAGGUACUGUAUGAAUAAGCACCGGCUAACUCCGUGCCAGCAGCCGCGGUAAUACGGAGGGUGCAAGCGUUAUCCGGAUUUAUUGGGUUUAAAGGGUCCGUAGGCGGGCCGAUAAGUCAGUGGUGAAAUCUCGCAGCUUAACUGUGAAACUGCCAUUGAUACUGUCGGUCUUGAGUAAAUUUGAAGUGGCUGGAAUAAGUAGUGUAGCGGUGAAAUGCAUAGAUAUUACUUAGAACACCAAUUGCGAAGGCAGGUCACUAAGAUUUAACUGACGCUGAUGGACGAAAGCGUGGGUAGCGAACAGGAUUAGAUACCCUGGUAGUCA